rnacentral:rRNA from 1 species
UACGUAGGGUGCGAGCGUUAAUCGGAAUUACUGGGCGUAAAGCGUGCGCAGGCGGUUCGUGAUGUCUGGUGUGAAAUCCCCGGGCUUAACCUGGGAACUGCGCUUGUAACUGGCAAGCUGGAGUGUGGCAGAGGGGGGUGGAAUUCCACGUGUAGCAGUGAAAUGCGUAGAGAUGUGGAGGAACACCGAUGGCGAAGGCAGCCCCCUGGGCUAACACUGACGCUCAUGCACGAAAGCGUGGGGAGCAAACAGG